ensembl:lncRNA
GGAAGAUGGGGUAGGUGGACAGGGUUAGGGGAAGAUGGGGAAGGUGGACAGGGGAAGAUGGAGGAGGUGGACAGGGGAAGAUGGAGCCGGUGGACAGGGUUAGGGGAAGAUGGGGGAGGUGGACAGGGUUAGGGGAAGAUGGGGGAGGUGGACAGAGUUAGGGGAAGAUGGGGGAGGUGGACCGGGUUAAGAAAAUAUGGGUGAGGUGGACAGGGUUAGGGGAAGAUGGAGGGAGGUGGGGAAGGUUAAGAAAGAUGGAGGGAGGUGGACAGAGUUAGGGGAAGAUUGUGAAGGUGGCCAGGGGAAUGGUGAGCUGGACAGGGUUAGGGGAAGAUGGAGGGAGCUGGCCAGGGGAAGAUGGGGGAGG